GCGCCGCGCCGGCGGUGCUGGAAAACAAAAUCGCGGGCUGCUUUUCGGCACUCCCGAACGCUCGGCGAGCUCUUCUUGAGUCUCAGGAAGUGUGCUCAAGCAUUUUAGGAAAUACUAAACGAAUCCUAAUGUACCCCUGAAACAAGAGAUACUAUGAUGAGUACCUUCACUGCUGGUGACAGAAGAAACUUCAAAAAAUAUUCAACUUCUACACUAUUCAAUCUUUAUACUGGUGUCUUUAAUCAGUGAAUCAGUGUCAUUUUGGUUACUCAGAAGAGGAACAUCCUUUUAAGGGAGAGAUGCAUGUGACAUUUCUAGUCUCCUCAGCAUGCAAGCAACCAUUCCUCUGAUUCCAACAGGGUCCCUGAGGCAGUAGAAGGAAUGAUCCAGCAUCUGCAAAAAGACCUGCCUUAAAAUCUUCCCAUUUCACCCCAGAAUGCAUUAAAAUAUAUCUUUCUGAAUAUGGAUAGAGGUCCAUUAAGAAAUUGUAUGGGAUGUAUAGUUCUCAGAACAACAGAAACUUCCCACACACACUGAGGUCUCAGACCUCAGGCUCCACUGCUAGAGUGCAAUUUGGUUAGAUUUGCAGACAGAGCAAUCAAAAUAAUUCAAAGUGCCUACAGAGUAUUAAACAAUCUUUAAAAUACAGGAUUCCAAAAUAAUAAAACUUGAGGAACUGAGGAACUGCUACAAAAAUGGUAGUUUAGAACUGCUUAUAUUUUAGGUGUCAUUUAUAGUUUUCCAUAUUUAUAUAUAUAAAUAUAUACCAGUGUAUACCAGUAUCUAAAAUGUGUAUUACACAUGGAACACAGAGAUUAUAAAAAUUUCUUGAGUCACCAUCACAUAAACUAAAAAAACCUGAAUAUUUUGAGAUAUUCACUAUGGACUGAACAUGUGUUUCUGUAACCAUUUAUUUUUUGUCUAUUAAUUCACUUUGACUAUUACAGGAAAUUGGGCUGUGGCUCAAUGAGAUGGCAGUUAACCAAAUUCAGUAAGAAUAGCUAGGAUUACGAUUCUUUAAGAAGGAGUUAAGACAGUUUUAUUAAAGCUGGUUUAGAUGUGAUUUCUCUGUGUCUCUGGACUAUUCUCUUUGUGAAAAAUCAAACUGGAUAGUUUUUUCGAGUAGUUGAUCCAUUUCUUACUAACUCCUUGACAUAGUAACAUGAGCAGUUGAAGAGAAAUUUACUGGUUUGAAACAUCUUGUCUGCUGAGCCCUUCUGGGUGGUCUGCAUAGUUUAAAUAUUUCAGGAAUGAAGUGUUUAACAAAUUACAAUGUUAAGAGAGCAGGUAAUCAGAAAAUAUAUCUUUCUGUUCUGUAGAAGCACACUAAAUGGAAGAACUGAAAGGCACAAAUGUAAACUGUUCAGCUUUUUCACGUCAUGGCACUUAACAACAGAGUACAACUACAAAUAAACUUUUUACCCUACUUAAAACUAGAAUAUUAAAACCUAUGAAUUUACAGUUGAUCAUCUGCCUAAAACCAGUGCAAGAACAGCUGAACCAAUGCAAUACUGACAUUAAAACCAAUAUUAAUCAAGA